rnacentral:lncRNA from 1 species
UUUUAUUUGGGUGAAACUUUGCAACCACCAAAACUUCUUGUCAUUUCAAAGCUUAGGGAACUCUUGUCACAGUUGUUGUUUGUCUCUGAAAAUAAGGUUCCUUUUGGAUACAGCCAAAUGUAAGACAGUAUGAAUGCCUGUUAAAAGCAGGCUGACUGGAUAUGGGUGGCAGGUCAACCAAUUAACACAUAUUGUCUUCUAUUUGUCAAAAGCAAAGGAUGGUGCCCUAAUUUUAAAUAAUCAUCUUCAGACACUAGAUUUCAAGAAACAGGCCAGAACCCUAUUUUCACUCUCUGUAGCAUCAACUCUUUCCUGAAGGGAAUUGAAUGAGUGGUUUUCUACUCAGAGAUCUGGUUCAUAGCAACUGAUUUCAACUGUUUUAUCAGACAUUACUUCAGGUCAGUGCUGCACACUGGUAUCCUCCCAACUCUGGAGGCUGGAGGAUCACAAGUUCAAGGCCAGCCACAGCAAUUUAGUAAGACCCUGUCUCAAAAAGGGGGACUGGGUUGUGGCUCAGCAGUAGAGUGCUCGCCUAGCACGUGUGAGGCACUGGGUUCAAGCUUCAGCACCACAUAAAAAUAAAUAAAAUAAAGGUAUUGUGACUAAAUACAAUAAAAAAAUAUUUUAAAAGGGGUGGAGCUGGGGAUAUGACUCAGUGGUAAUGUGCUCCUGGGUUCAAUCCCUAGUGCCCACCCCCAUCCCCAAAAGAAAACCAAAACCAACCCCCCCUCCCUUUUUGAGGCACUAGGGAUUGAACCAGGGCCUCUCGUAUCUUAUGCAAGUAUUCUACCACUGAGGUACAUCCCCAACCAUUUUUACAGGGUCUCACUGAAUUGCCCAGGCUGGCCUCAAAAUUGUGAUCCUCCUGCCUUCUAAGUAGCUGGGAUUCCAGGCAUGGUCACUGUGCCUGGCUAUUUUACAACCUGAUGGCUAUUUUAGGCUGCCUUUAUUGUUGCUAUAUUAGAAACUUGGAAGUAUUUUCAAAGCAGCCAAAUAAUUCCAAUUCCUAACUAAGGAAAGAAGCAGGUGAAAUGAUUUUUUAAAAAAGACUAGAAGUGGGCUGAGGUUGUAGAUCAGAGGUAGAGCACUCCCCUUGUAUGCGUGAGGCACUGGGUUCGAUUCUCAGCAAUACAUAAAAAUAAAAUAUUGUGUCCACCUAUAACUAAAAAGUAAAAAAAAAAAAAAAAAAAACAGAAGCAUUUGCCUUUCCUCCCAGAGUUCAUUUCAAAAAAAUCAUAGGCUUCUGACUAAAAACCAAUCUUGCUGAAAUACACUGGUGAUUAUGGAUGCCUUUUUAGUUGGCUAAUUUGUUUCAAAAUAAAAUAGACCUGGAGCACACUGUUGACCCCUAAUUGGUUCAACUGUUCAGAUGGAGCAUGAAGAUUUAUCCAAGCACUUGGUUUAUCCUGUUAUGUGUUUGCUAUGGAAAAGUAUUAGCAAGCACUGCCUCACUUUUUUCCACUGGGGACCAUGUUCCUUGUUUCAUUUUCAUUGUUUCUCUGCUAACGAGAUCAUGUAAUGACAAGACUCAAGUCCCUUCUGAUCUUAGCAAUGCUUUUUAAACCCUCACUUUCACAGAAAGGCACUUACCUCUUAAUAGGCAGCCACAUUUCAGUCAGUUUGAU